GACGAACGCUGGCGGCGUGCUUAACACAUGCAAGUCGAACGGAAAGGCCCCUUUGGUGUUACUCGAGUGGGGAACGGGUGAGUAACACGCGAGUAACUUGCCCUUGACUUCGGGUUAACUUCAUGCAACUGGGGCUAAUACCUGCCAGGAAUCCGUUCUUCAUGGUGGGGGUGGGAAAGAUUCGGCGGUUUGGGAUGGACUCGCGGCCUAUUAGCUUGCUGGUGGGGGAGUGGCUUACCAAGGGUUUGGUGGGUAGCCGGCCUGGGAGGGCGAACGGCCAACAUGGGACUGAGAUGAGGCCCCGGCUCCUAACGGGGGCCACAGGGGGGAAUAUUGCACAAUGGGCGGAAGGCUGAUGCAGCAAAGCCGGGGGCGGGAUGACGGGCUUUGGGUUGUAAACCGGCUUUAGCAGGGGAGGAGGUUGUGGUGACGGUACCUGCAGAAGAAGCACCGGCUAACUACGUG
rnacentral:rRNA from 1 species